rnacentral:rRNA from 1 species
UACGGGGGGGGCAAGCGUUGUUCGGAAUUACUGGGCGUAAAGGGCUCGUAGGCGGCCAACUAAGUCAGACGUGAAAUCCCCAGGCUCAACCUGGGAACUGCGUCUGAUACUGGAUGGCUUGAAUUCGGGAGAGGGAUGCAGAAUUCCAGGUGUAGCGGUGAAAUGCGUAGAUAUCUGGAGGAAUACCAGAGGCGAAGGCAGCUCGCUGGGACGGUACUGACGCUGAGACGCGAAAGCGUGGGGAGCAAACAGG